CCACUCCGAUGUUGCCCUGGACUUAGUGGCUAUCUGACCAUGGCUGCCACUCCUACCCUGCUUUCUCUGGGAAAGAAUGUCAUCAUAUCACCAUCAUCAUCGUCAUUGUCAUCACCAUCACCACCACCAUCACCAUCACAUUAUCACCCCACCAUCAUCAUCCUUAUGAACAGAUGGGGAAAUGGCUCAAGGGGCCAUGGAGCUCUGUUUUUCUCUGCUCAUCUGGGAGACUUGCUUUUCCUGUCCCUCCCAAACAGCUCAGCCUGGUCCCAGCCACCUACUUCCCUGCCUGAAAGUAAUGAAUCCUCAAGUCUAGGGAGGUACUGUUUGGGGCUUUCUGCUAUGCAAAUCCUGACCUUAAGUUGAAGUCACUCACCCUGAAUCCCCAUCUAGGGCUUGUACCCAGAGAGUCUGAGCUAUGCUCUUGGGACCAGUGAGCAAGUUUU
rnacentral:lncRNA from 1 species